rnacentral:rRNA from 1 species
CAGUAGCCACGGUAACACGUAGGGGGCGAGCGUUGUCCGAAGUUACUGGGCGUAAAGAGCGCGUAGGCGGGUCUUUAAGUGGGGGGUGAAAGUCCGGGGCUCAACCCCGGAACUGCCUUUCAUACUGGAGACCUUGAGUGUGGGAGAGGCGAGUGGAAUGGUCGGUGUAGCGGUGAAAUGCGUAGAUAUCGAUCGGAACACCCAUGGCGAAGGCAGCUCGCUGGCCUAUAACUGACGCUGAGGUGCGAAAGCGUGGGGAGCAAACAGGAUUAGAUACCCGCGUAGUCCCUGUCUCUUAUAC